rnacentral:lncRNA from 1 species
AUGUUUGACAUUCUUUUAAAAUAUGAGAACACAGAAUUGUGAAAGUUAAUCUUGCCUUUAUUAUUUAAUAUGAAUAUAAAAUAUUAAAUUUUAAAUAUUAAAACAGUGUUUGUAACUUAAUUCAGAAGGAUGAGAUAGCUUUUCUUAAAUUAGUUUAAGAGUACCUAAAUAUAAAUAAAAGAAAGCCAAUGUUUUCCUCUAAGAGUUUUAUAGUAUCUGAAAAUGGGCAGAAGGUCUAAAUGGACAAUUCCCCAAAAAAGACAUUCAGAUGGCCAAAAAACACAUGAAAAGGUGUUCAACAUCACUAAUUAUUAGAGAAAUGAAAAUCAAAAUCACUAUGAGAUACCACUUUACACCAGCCAGAAUGGCCAUCAUCAAAAAGUCUACAAACAGUAAGUGCUGGAGGAGAGUGUGGAGAAAAGGGAACCCUAUUAUACUGUUGGUGGGAAUGUAAACUGGUGCAACCACUGUGGAAAGCAGUAUGGAGAUUCCUCAGAAACCUAAAAAUAGAAUUACCAUUUGAUCCAGCAAUCCCACUCCUGGGCUUCUAUCCAGAGAAAACCAUGACUCGAAAAGACACAUGUACUCCAAUGUUCAUUGCAGCACUAUAUACAAAAGACAAAACAUGGAAAAACCUAAAUGUCCAUCAGCAGAGGAGUGGAUCAAGAAGAUGCGGUACAUAUAUAUAAUGGAAUAUUACUCAGCCAUUAAAAGGAAAGAAAUAAUGACAUUUGCAGCAACAUGGAUGGACCUAGGAAUUCUAUGCUAAGUGAAGUUAGUCAGACAUGAGAUACCAACAUCAAAUGCUAUCAUUUACAUGUGGAAUCUAAAAAAAGGACACAAUGAACUUCUUUGCAUAACAGAUACUGACUCACAGACUUUGAAAAACUUGUGGUGGGGGGAUGAACUGGGAGUUUGGGAUGGAAAUGCUAUAAAAUUGGGUUGUGAUGAUCAUUGUACAACUAUAAAUGUAAUAAGUUCAUUAAAUAAAUAAAUAAAUAAAUAAAAGAAAUCCAGCCAUUGAUUAAUUAAUCUUCAGUUGCUAUGUAUCAAUUAUAUGAGAAAGUCCUUUCUUAAGAAUAUCUGAAUAUCAAUGAAUCUCACUUUUCAUUAAUAAUUUUUCUUAACUUACUAGAAAAAAGAACUUUAAUGUGUUGAACUAGGCACUUUGACUUAUGUGCUUGGCACUGUUACAGGAUCUGGGAGUAAGACCCAGUUUCUUUCCUCAAAAGAGUUGCAAGCUGAUAUAGAGACAAAAAUUGCAUUGAAGUGUAACAAAUUCCACUGCAGAAGUUUGUAUUUGAUGUAGAUUAAUGUAAAUGCAGGCCACAUAAGUUCAUUCCAGAGGAGUGAUUGAGAAUAAUUUCAUAGAAGAAGACCUAUGAAGACAAGUGCCAUCUUGGGAGAUCUUUACACAGAUGCAGAGUGGGAGCUGGAGGUGAGAAGGCAAAAGCAGUCCAGCCUUAGAAAGCAAAUGCACAGAGACAUGCAUGCUCUUGCGGCUUAUUCACCAUUCUUAUAAGACUAAUAACACCUUAGUAGCUUCAUUGCCAUCACCUUCACCGUCACAAUGAAUGGACUCUUAUUGUCAGUCAAAUAAACGCUUUAUAGGCAGCGUCUAGAUGUCUUCUCCCAUGCACCUUAUGAGUUCAGUAUUGUAACUAUCCUCAUUUUACAAAGGCUUAAAGAGAUUAGAUAAUUUGUUCAAAUCUAGAUGUGUGCACUUUCAACUCCAUGCUUUGUACCUCUGUGCUUCACAGGCUAGGAUGAUUUGCCCAUAUUAAGGGCCCAGAUAUUGGUUGAUAAGUAUAAUAAUCUCCUAAAAGUUAAAGUGAAGAAAUCUACCUUGAUGUUUAUGAUGCAGUUUGGUGAAUGAAGUGUCCAUAGAUAAACAAUGAAAGUGAGAAACACACAAUAAAUAGAGAAUAAAAAUUCGUAUAUGUAUGUUUGUUAGAAACAAAAAAUCCUUUUGAAUGUCUCAUUUCUUAGCACAUAGCAGGAUAUCACAUACAUAUAUCAUCAUAAGGCAGCAUCUGUGGAAUGUUCCUAGUCCCCUGCAACAGGACCAUGUUACAGAUAUACAGAGAGAAAAUCCACGUUUCCUGCACAUUAUAGAUAAGAACAUAUGAUGGUCCUUUUUAAAGAAUGAAGUAAUCUGAAUUUUUAAUUUUUAUUAUCAGUUGGUAUAUAUAGACAUUCCUGCUGUGGCCAGUGGGUCAAGAAUCCAACUGCUGCAGUUCAGGUCACGGCAGAGACGUAAAUUCAAUCCCCAACCUGGUGC